GAUGAACGCUGGCGGCGUGCCUAAUACAUGCAAGUCGAACGAGGUGCUUUUGUAGCAAUACGAGAGUAUCCUAGUGGCGAACGGGUGAGUAACGCGUUGGUGACCUGCCCCAAAGUGUGGGAUAACAGUCCGAAAGGAUUGCUAAUACCGCAUGUGGUCAUGAUGUUUAGAAACUGAUGACUAAAGCAGCAAUGCGCUUUGGGAGGGACCUGCGUCCCAUCAGCUAGUUGGUGAGGUAAUGGCUCACCAAGGCGACGACGGGUAGGGGACCUGAGAGGGUGGCCCCCCACAAUGGAACUGAAACAUGGUCCAUACACCUACGGGUGGCAGCAGUAGGGAAUAUUGCUCAAUGGGCGAAAGCCUGAAGCAGCAACGCCGCGUGCGCGAUGAAGGUCUUCGGAUCGUAAAGCGCUUUUCUGCGAGAUGAGAAAGGACAGUAUCGUAGGAAUAAGUCUCGGCUAACUACGUGCCAGCAGCCGCCGCCGUAA
rnacentral:rRNA from 1 species